GACGAACGCUGGCGGCGUGCCUAAUACAUGCAAGUAGAACGCACAGUUUAUACCGUAGCUUGCUACACCAUAGACUGUGAGUUGCGAACGGGUGAGUAACGCGUAGGUAACCUGCCUGGUAGCGGGGGAUAACUAUUGGAAACGAUAGCUAAUACCGCAUAAUAUUAAUUAUUGCAUGAUAAUUAAUUGAAAGGUGCAAUUGCACCACUACCAGAUGGACCUGCGUUGUAUUAGCUAGUAGGUGAGGUAACGGCUCUCCUAGGCGACGAUACAUAGCCGACCGGAGAGGGUGAUCGGCCACACUGGGACUGAGACACGGCCCAGACUCCUACGGGAGGCAGCAGUAGGGAAUCUUCGGCAAUGGACGAAAGUCUGACCGAGCAACGCCGCGUGAGUGAAGAAGGUUUUCGGAUCGUAAAGCUCCGUUGUAAGAGAAGAACGGGUGUGAGAGUGGAAAGUUCACACUGUGACGGUAUCUUACCAGAAAGGGACGGCUAACUACGUG
rnacentral:rRNA from 1 species